CUACUGUUUCUUCCACAGAAACGACACAAACAACUGAACCUACAACUGCGGUCCCAACAACCCCCAAAACAACCCAGUCAGUUCUUUUAAGUUUUUCCAGCGAUGAAACUUUUGUGGAUGAUUUGUCAAAUAGAGCUUCAGCUGCAUAUAAAUCCAGAGAAAGCAGAGUCUUAAAUGAGUUGGAACCAUUAUUUAAAAAGAAUUUCCCCUCCUUCAAAAGUCUGGUAGUUAUUAAGUUCCGUCCAGGGUCAAUCAUCACUGACAUGAAGGUGACAUUUGGAGACCAAUUACCCAAUACCGGGGACAUAGAAAAUACUGUUUUGCAAGCCAAAGCCCCUCUUAAUAUCACCAGCGUAACA